rnacentral:rRNA from 1 species
AGAAAGUUGGGGGUGAAAUCCCAGGGCUCAACCCUGGAACUGCCUUCAAAACUCCUGGUCUAGAGUUCGAGAGAGGUGAGUGGAAUUCCGAGUGUAGAGGUGAAAUUCGUAGAUAUUCGGAGGAACACCAGUGGCGAAGGCGGCUCACUGGCUCGAUACUGACGCUGAGGUGCGAAAGCGUGGGGAGCAAACAGG